GCCUGGGUGGCUCAAUCGGUUGGGCAUCUGACUUCGGCUCAGGUCAUGAUCUCACAGCUCGUGAGUUCGAGCCUCGCAUCGGGCU
rfam:Felis catus isolate Cinnamon breed Abyssinian chromosome X, whole genome shotgun sequence.